GCUGGAGGCGGCCGUCUGGCCGUGCCAGGGGCUGCAACACAGGACAUGGGUCUUGCCUCUGCCCGCCGCUCGUGUCUUGUGUUGCAGCCAGUGGAACUGCCUGUCUGC
rnacentral:pre_miRNA from 13 species